UAUUGAGUAUAGUCACCCUAUUGUGCUAUCAAAUAGUAGGUCUUAUUCUCUCUUUUUUUUGUAUCCAUAAUUCUUAGAAUACUUAAUUUUUAUUUCAUAGACAUGUUUUGUGGUGCUGCCCAGAUUCCUCCUGUAGGAUUAGAGUGCUUAUUUGCAGCUGCUGGAAGGACGGACACAAGAUGACACUCAGCUGUCACUCUUACUUGGGAGUUGUCUCAGUUAAUGUCAUACCCUACUCAAGGUCAUACCUCUUUCCAGGGACAGCCCACAUCGAUGAGUAAUUAACCCAGUAAUAUAAAGGCUUGAUCCCCUAGCCUCAACCUGGGACACCCCUAAAGGGCUAUCCAAAUUCUAGAGCUUCAUGGGAGGUCAGCUAAAACAUUCACUGGGACUUCGUCACAGCUCACUCUCUUCCUCUGCGAAUCCUGUUUUCUUCUACUCCUUUGCACAGGUGUUGGCUCCAAGACACCUCCUUAGUUAACAUUGUGCACAUCCAUCUUCCUGCCAAAGUCUAUGUUCCAGAGAACUCAAAACUACAAAGCUGAGUACCAGAUUGAUGAAAGUGGAUGCUGAGAAGGGAUUUUAGAGUUGGAUGGCCUACUGUCCAGUUGGAACAUGGAACUAUUGGUGUGUGGAACACAGAUAGCUCUUGGCACUAACAGUGAAAUUAUUUAAAUGUUUACUGGUGAUGAAAUGGGAUGCUAUACUGAUGAAAGUUAAUUAUACCAUUAGUUGGUGCCAUGUGUCAGGAAUUUGGGAACUAUAUGGAUGGUUAAAUCAGGCAGCUAUUGAUAAUAUUGUACUCUGAAAAAAGAUAAUUCAAAGCUAAGAGUGAUUAAUUGUUGAAAAAAGCCAAAUUUGAAAGCGAAAGGGCCUCCUUAGCAGCAUAUAAAGAGGUUCUCAUUUCCUUCAGUGGAACAGCAGAGAAAGCAGAAGGCCAACCCCUGUCUUCUCAUAAAGUUCAAAAAAAGUUGAACUCUAAAAGAAGGGGGGUCUGGGCCGGGUGCAGUGGCUCACGCCUGUAAUCCCAACACUUUGGGAGGCCGAGGUGGGCGGAUCAUGAGGUCAGGAGUUCGAGACCAGCAUGACCAACAUGGUGAAACCCCGUCUCUACUAAAAAAAUACAAAAAUUAGCCAGAUGUGGUGGCACACACCUGUAAUCCCAGCUACUCAGGAGGCUGAGGCAGGGGAAUCGCUUGAACCUGGGAGGUGGAGGUUGCAGAGAGCCAAGAUCACACCACUGCACUCCAGCCUGGUGACAGAGCGAGACUCUGUCUCAAAAAAACAGAGGGGGUCUGGCCGGGCAUGGUGGCUCAUGCCCGUAAUCCCAGCACUUUGGGAGGCCGAGGCAGGCAGAUCACCUGAGGUCAGGGGUUCGAGACCAGCCUGACCAACAUGGCAAAACUCCAUCUCUACUAAAAAUAAAUUAAAAUAAAUAAAUCUUUACUAAAAAUAAAUUAUCCAGGUAUGGUGGUGCAUGCCUGUAAUCCCAGCUACUCAGGAGGCUGAGGCAGGAGAAUCUCUUGAACCCAGGAGGCGGAGGUUGCAGUGAGGCGAGAUCAUGCUACUGAACUCCAGCCUGGGCGACAGAGUGAAACUCUGUCUCAAAAAAUAAUAAUCAUAAUAAAAAAGACUGGUCUGCUAUGUCAAAGUAAAAGCCCUGAUCAGAAGAGAAUAGGACCCUGCAUUUAGGAUGGAAACUUACGUGUUGAAUGUGCGUGUAAAUCUUGUAUCCCUAAGUUCCCCUGAGCCUACACAAGUGAAAGGCUGGGACUCCUUUCUUGUUUGAAGAGCAUUUGGAGGCCUGUCUUUUGGAAGACAUCAUCUGCUCCCUCAGGAUCUUCCCUUCCCGGCUACUAGAGCAAUAAUUAGGUCAAAGACAGGGCUAUGCAGGGUCCUCUAGUAGAGGAAAGGGAGUAAUCCCUGAAGAAAAUGGGAUUCCUGGACAAUACGUACUAGCAGGAGCUAGAAAAGCACAUGUGCGACUGUAUGCUGAGGGCGAUAGCCCAAGAGGUGGCACAACAGAAAUUUAGAUAAAAGAGAACUUAUCAUUAGAGAGCACUCUCUCAGGAUACAGAAUUUAGCACCUUGAAAGCAUCUGGAGAUGCCCCGAAUGUUCUUCUCAGAUGGCUCCAAGAAGUACAGAAAAUGCUGUGGUCUGCACAGAGAGAGAGGGAAAUGCCAGAAUUCCUACAGCAGACAAUGAAAGAAGGGAUUAAAAGGUUCAGAAAAAUAGGCUUGCUGGAGAGGCUAUAAUAUGUAGUUCUGGAAAUUCCACCGAUGACUAUAUUCUGUGGAUGUGCCUGAGGGACACGUCAUUGGCCGUAGCCAUGAGGAACGCACUGGUGAGAAUGGAGGCAACAUCACCGAGAAGCUCAGGGCUGACAUCAUUACGGGUCAUGUAUUCCAUCUGUAAUGGGAGAUUCCAUUACAGAUUUGGGCUCAGAAAUGGCAAUGGGAACCACAGAAUCCUUCUUUGUCAAUGCAUCUGAAACUGUCUUGGAAAAUCCAAAUGAAUCCACUGAAGAAUUUUAAAUUAAUGAGAGUUCGAAAAGCACCUGAAUCAAGA
rnacentral:lncRNA from 1 species